CCCUGACCCAUCACGCGUCUCACCUCUCUGUCUGAGCUGUGCCACUGCUGAUUGGACAGAUCCAGGGUGUUGUCAGCACGCUUCCCUAUAAACACGGCUGAUUGGCCAGAACUCUUCAGGGCCUCGGAAAACCUGAGAGAGCUACAGCAGUGUUGUUACUACAAGAGAGAAAUGAGAGCCACACUCAAACCUGAGAGAGCUACAGCAGUGUUGUUACUACGAGAGAGAAAUGAGAGACACACUCAAACCUGACAGAGCUACAGCAGUGUUGUUACUACAAGAGAGAAAUGAGAGACACACUCUAGGAGCUCCGAUGCUCAGAUCAUUUAAUAACCAUUUACACAGAGGAGUUGUCUUCAUCACCCUUUUCCAGGUGUUCUACUCCCCUAGCCAGCACCUCCCCUAGCCAGCACCUCUCCUAAACAGGUGUUCUACUCCCCUAGCCAGCACCUCUCCUAAACAGGUGUUCUACUCCCCUAGCCAGCACCUCUCCUAAACAGGUGUUCUCCUCCCCUAGCCAGCACCUCUCCUAAACAGGUGUUCUACUCUGCUAGCCAGCACCUCUCCUAAACAGGUGUUCUCCUCCCCUAGCCAGCACCUCUCCUAAACAGGUGUUCUCCUCCCCUAGCCAGCACCUCUCCUAAACAGGUGUUCUCCUCCCCUAGCCAGCACCUCUCCUAAACAGGUGUGUUUAUUUCUCCUCCAGGCUAAAACAAGAGGAACCACAUAUGGAAAAGAGGGGAAGGGUUUGUUGGUCAUACCUGUUGUUGUUGUUGUGUGUAGAUGUUGCUCUGUUGACAGGAGGCUGGUACAUGGUAGGACUCCCACCCCACAGCUCUUCACAAUACAGCUCCACUACCUGAUACAGAACACACACUGAUUACUCAGCCUGGGAGUCUGUGUGUGUG
ensembl:lncRNA